GAGCUGGGUUUAGAACGUCGUGAGACAGUUCGGUCCCUAUCUGCCGUGGGCGCUGGAGAACUGAGGGGGGCUGCUCCUAGUACGAGAGGACCGGAGUGGACGCAUCACUGGUGUUCGGGUUGUCAUGCCAAUGGCACUGCCCGGUAGCUAAAUGCGGAAGAGAUAAGUGCUGAAAGCAUCUAAGCACGAAACUUGCCCCGAGAUGAGUUCUCCCUGAGACUUAGAGUCUCCUGAAGGAACGUUGAAGACGACGACGUUGAUAGGCCGGGUGUGUAAGCGCAGCGAUGCGUUGAGCUAACCGGUACUAAUGAACCGUGAGGCUUAACCUUACAACGCCGAAG
rnacentral:rRNA from 1 species